AGAGCGAACGCUGGCGGCAGGCUUAACACAUGCAAGUCGAGCGGGCGUAGCAAUACGUCAGCGGCAGACGGGUGAGUAACGCGUGGGAACGUACCUUUUGGUUCGGAACAACACAGGGAAACUUGUGCUAAUACCGGAUAAGCCCUUACGGGGGAAAGAUUUAUCGCCGAAAGAUCGGCCCGCGUCUGAUUAGCUAGUUGGUGAGGUAACGGCUCACCAAGGCGACGAUCAGUAGCUGGUCUGAGAGGAUGAUCAGCCACAUUGGGACUGAGACACGGCCCAAACUCCUACGGGAGGCAGCAGUGGGGAAUAUUGGACAAUGGGCGCAAGCCUGAUCCAGCCAUGCCGCGUGAGUGAUGAAGGCCCUAGGGUUGUAAAGCUCUUUUGUGCGGGAAGAUAAUGACGGUACCGCAAGAAUAAGCCCCGGCUAACUUCGUGCCAGCAGCCGC
rnacentral:rRNA from 1 species